CGCGUAGGUGGUUGCGUAAGUCGGAUGUGAAAUCCCCAGGCUUAACCUGGGAACUGCAUCCGAUACUGCAUGACUCGAGUGCAGCAGAGGGAAACGGAAUUCCUGGUGUAGAGGUGAAAUUCGUAGAUAUCAGGAGGAACACCGGUGGCGAAGGCGGUUUCCUGGGCUGACACUGACACUGAGGCGCGAAAGCGUGGGUAGCAAACAGGAUUAGAUACCCUGGUAGUCCACGCUGUAAACGGUGAGUGCUGGGUGUGGGAGGUGUAAUGCCUUCUGUGCCGAAGCUAACGCGUUAAGCACUCCGCCUGGGGAGUACGGCCGCAAGGUUGAA
rnacentral:rRNA from 1 species